AGUGAACGCUGGCGGUAGGCCUAACACAUGCAAGUCGAACGGCAGCACAGUAAGAGCUUGCUCUUACGGGUGGCGAGUGGCGGACGGGUGAGGAAUACAUCGGAAUCUACUUUUUCGUGGGGGAUAACGUAGGGAAACUUACGCUAAUACCGCAUACGACCUACGGGUGAAAGCAGGGGAUCUUCGGACCUUGCGCGAUUGAAUGAGCCGAUGUCGGAUUAGCUAGUUGGCGGGGUAAAGGCCCACCAAGGCGACGAUCCGUAGCUGGUCUGAGAGGAUGAUCAGCCACACUGGAACUGAGACACGGUCCAGACUCCUACGGGAGGCAGCAGUGGGGAAUAUUGGACAAUGGGCGCAAGCCUGAUCCAGCCAUACCGCGUGGGUGAAGAAGGCCUUCGGGUUGUAAAGCCCUUUUGUUGGGAAAGAAAAGCAGCAGGUUAAUACCCCGCUGUUUGACGGUAUCCAAAGAAUAAGCACCGGCUAACUUCGUG
rnacentral:rRNA from 1 species